GACGAACGCUGGCGGCGUGCUUAACACAUGCAAGUCGAACGGAAAGGCCCUGCUUUUGUUGGUUGCUCGAGUGGCGAACGGGUGAGUAACACGUGAGUAACCUGCCCUUGACUUUGUGAUAACUUCAGGAAACUGGGGCUCAUACCCGAUAUGAUCUCCUGCUGCAUGUGGGGGGUUGGAAAGUUUCGGCUGUUGGGGAUCGACUCGCGGCUUCUCAGCUUGUUGGUGUGGUAGUUGCUUACCAAGGCUUUGACGGGUAGCCGGCCUGAGAGGGUGACCGGGGACAUGGGGACUGAGAGACGGCGCAGAAUCCUACGGGAGGCAGCAGGGGGGAAUAUGGCACAAUGGGGGGAAGCCUGAGACAGAAACGUCGCGAGCGGGAUGACGGGUUUCGGGUGGUAAACAGCUUUGGAAUGUGACGAAGAGGGAGUGACGGUAAUGGGUAAAGAGGCACCGGCUAACUACGUG
rnacentral:rRNA from 1 species